rnacentral:rRNA from 1 species
UUCGUCCAAUUGAAGCAGAGGACAGUGGCGGACGGGUGAGUAACGCGUGAGGAACCUGCCUUUCAGAGGGGGACAACAGUUGGAAACGGACGCUAAUACCGCAUGACGCAGCGAUACGGCAUCGUAUUGCUGCCAAAGAUUUAUCGCAUAAGGAUGGACUCGCGUCCCAUUAGAUAGUUGGCGGGGUAACGGCCCACCAAGUCAGCGAUGGGUAGCCGGACUGAGAGGUUGAACGGUCACAUUGGGACUGAGACACGGCCCAGACUCC